rnacentral:snRNA from 1 species
ACCCCUCUGCUCGCCUCCUGUUUGGCUGUAGCAAAUUUUUCUUGUGGCAGAGACAUGCUCAUGUGGGGCUUUUGGCCUGCUGAUAUGUCCUCCAUAGGAGGUCUAUAUUGAGCAGAUUCUUUUUGGUAUUGGUAGGUGGAACCGGAGCGUGCUCCAUCCACUCCAUGCAUUGACCUGGGAUUGCAGUGCUUCCAGGACCGGUGCAAAAAAA